rnacentral:rRNA from 1 species
AUUGAACGCUGGCGGCAGGCCUAACACAUGCAAGUCGAGCGGAUGAAGGGAGCUUGCUCCUGGAUUCAGCGGCGGACGGGUGAGUAAUGCCUAGGAAUCUGCCUGGUAGUGGGGGAUAACGUCCGGAAACGGGCGCUAAUACCGCAUACGUCCUGAGGGAGAAAGUGGGGGAUCUUCGGACCUCACGCUAUCAGAUGAGCCUAGGUCGGAUUAGCUAGUUGGUGGGGUAAAGGCCUACCAAGGCGACGAUCCGUAACUGGUCUGAGAGGAUGAUCAGUCACACGGAAACUGAGAAACGGUCCAGACUCCUACGGGAGGCAGCAGGGGGGAAUAUGGGACAAGGGGCGAAAGCCGGAUCCAGCCAUGCCGCGUGGGUGAAGAAGGUCUUCGGAUUGUAAAGCAUUUUAAGUUGGGAGGAAGGGCAGUAAGUUAAAACCUUGCUGUUUUGACGUUACCAACAAAAAAAGCACCGGCUAAUUUCGU